CACUCGUCUCCCUCUGGAGUUCAUUAACAUCACUUCUGUUAUAGAACUCCCGUUUCCCCACGAGGCGGCAGACCGACAUCCCGCACCGAGCCUGUCCUCAAGAUCACAGGCGAUGUGAGGGCUGCUAAUGACGUCGAAGUAAGAAGCGUCGAUGACGCGGUGCGUGAUGUGGCGAAGUCCCCGCUCUCCCAGACGAAGAUGGCCAACCCGGAGUUCCUUGCAUCGUCCUCGAUCCAGCCACAAUUCCACCACGAAUUCCCGACCACCACGUCCAUCAACCCGUCUGUCUGUACUAUGCAAUUGUAAAUUCUGUGAACAUGUAGAUCGAACCUGAUUUGGGUUUUUGCUUGGGAUUUGUACGAACAACACGAUGAUAUUUCGGCUAACGGGGGCUUCGUAACGUAUAACCUGUUCAGCUUUUAUUUCUAUUUUUGUGCACGCGCUCCGGGAACCUCCGUUUACCUCCUUCACGUUUCUCAGAUAUUUAUAAAAAAAAACAAAAAACAAAUGUUGUAGCUGGGAAUGAAGACCACUCGUGUUUUGCCCCUUAAUGAAUCACCUCAUACUGAUAAAUGCAUGUUUCUUCCCAGAAUGCAUCCCUCUGCUGUGUUUCUCGUGUUUACAGCGUAAUCCGUGCCGUCACCCGCGAACUGGUUGGCUGUUCUUGGAAAAAAAAAAUCAUUCCGAUAACGGUACGUGCUGAGUGCUCCGUUGCUCUUCCGACGCCACAGCAAUUUGCCAACGUUAACCUUUUUAAAAAAUAAUAAUAAUAAUAAUAAUUUUAUUAAAGAGUGACACCUCGUACUUUUUAUCCGCUUAUAAUUACAUUUACUGUUGUGGAAAACAAGUUCCUGUUCGAAACCAUACCCCGCCCCCCUUGUGUAAAUACUGUACAUGUUCAGGAAUGCCGAGAUGUUUUAGCCCUGUGUGCCUAUACAGCAUCCAUUCCAAGGAGAGGAUUUACGAGACGGAAAUAUAGAGAGCUCUAAAUUCAGAUUCGACAAAAUUUUAUUAUUAUUUUUUUCCUCUUUGAGUCGAAUAGUUUUCUAAAGUCAAAUCAAAUCAGAAGAAAGCCAUGAUUGCCUUGCUACCUCAGACUUAACAGCGUUCAUUUGCGAGAUUUGUGUUGUUUUUUUGUUUUUUUUGUCAUUAUUUUUCUUUCGCAAAACCACAAACAGAAACCUAAAGCCACAAAUGCUAUAUUUUAAAUAACGUUCCUUGAGAUCACUUAUUUAAUAAGAUCAGGGAUGAAGAUCAAGAUUGACAGAUAAGGCUGAAAAUGAAAAGUCAACGAUUUAAAAAAGAAAAGAAAAGAAAAGGUAAACAUAAAAUUCUGUGGUUGGUCUGUGAAUUUUUUUCAUAGCUUUUUAAUUUUUUCUACAUGGUGUAGUUUGUGCUUUUCCCAGUGAAGCAUUAACACUACUAUGACCUGUCCGAUGUGUCCCCGACUGCGGGGUUU
ensembl:lncRNA